UACGGAGGGUGCAAGCGUUAAUCGGAAUUACUGGGCGUAAAGCGCACGCAGGUGGCUGAGUCAGUCGAUUGUGAAAGCCCUGGGCUUAACCUGGGAAUUGCAGUCGAUACUACUCAGCUAGAGUAUGGGAGAGGGUAGUGGAAUUCCCGGUGUAGCGGUGAAAUGCGUAGAUAUCGGGAGGAACAUCAGUGGCGAAGGCGGCUUACUGGUCCAUAACUGAUGCUGAGGUGCGAAAGCGUGGGGAGCAAACAGG
rnacentral:rRNA from 1 species